rnacentral:lncRNA from 1 species
AAGAAGCACCUGCUGUUGUGUGUCCUUCCAGCUUCUCCUCUUCUAGGGAGAGGAAAAUGAUUCUUCAAAUUCUGCUGUUUUAUAUACCCCAAAUCUCCUGCCUUUGCCUCUCUUGCUAUUGAUGCCACCGGAAAGGAGCAUAUUCUGCACAACUCUAGAAGUUAAGCUUUGUAUUUCAAUGCAUUUGCUACUGCCCCUUUAGAAAUACGAGAUACAAGCCUGAAACUACUACAGAUCUUCAUCUGAGUAUUAGCUCAUUCAGCAGUUGAAAGAAACACUAUCUCCAGCAGCCUAUAGGCAAAAUUCCCACCAACAUCAAGGGAGCAGAAAACCAAGAAUGGGAGCAGGAGGGAGGUCAGCAUCAGAUCAGGUGAGUACGCACUACACGCUGUUGUGUUUCUUGAGUAUCAUUUUCUGAAUCUGUCAA